AAAGAUAGAACAUGGCCAGUCCCUUGGACAAAAAGCAUUUUCCUUUCCUUUUUUCCGUCUUUUCCCACACAAUAUCGUUAUUGUUGCUGACUGCCUUCGAAAACGACGCAGUUAAGCCUCAUUCCAAAACCAGGCUCUCUUUCUCUUUUCCGCGAUCCCUCGACCACCAUCAUUUAUUAUUAUUAUAUCAAAAAUGUCUAUCGCACAAUCAUUAUCGUUGGAUAAUUAUUGGUUCCAUUGUGAUAUCUAUGAGGAGAAGUUUAACUGGCAUCACGUAAAAAUUGGUGGUGGGGUGAAGUCUUACGCUUGAGGGAUGGUUUCUCUAGCGCCAUUGUUUAUGCAUGAGGUGUGGCCAGGCAAAUAUUUUAGUGGGGACUGUUGUUUCUUGCUGGUUUUCCGCGUGGGUUAGGUGGUUUUCCUGCUUCUCUUCUACAUAUGGUCUUUGCUUGAGUCGUGGGGAUUAGGAGAUUCUUGUUUCUGGUCUUUUGGCCUCCGUGAUUUUGAAGAUGGCCAAAUUCGCGUCUCUCGUGGAGAAGGCCACCAGCGAUCACCUUGUCGAUCCCGAUUGGGCGAUAAACUUAGAAAUUUCCGAUUUGCUUAACUCGAAUCCACUGGACUCCAAGGACGUGAUGAAAGCUGUGAAAAGACGCAUUGGCAACAGAAACUCAAAAAUUCAGCUGCUUGCUUUGAUGUUACUGGAAAUGCUAGUAAAAAACUGUGGUGAAUAUGUAUGGUGUCAAGUUGUGGAGACCAACAUUUUGCAAAAAAUUAUCAAACUUGCCCAACAAACGGUUGAUUUAAAAGUUCGCGACAAAAUUCUGAUGCUAAUACUUGCAUGGAAGGAAGCCUUUGGUGGGCCAGGAGGGAAAUUUCCCCAAUUCUUUUGGGCCUAUAAUGAACUAAGGAUGUCUGGGCUUGUGUUUCCUCAAUUAUCAGGAGAUUCAGUCCCUAUAAUUACUCCUCCUGCAAGACAGUUAUCUGCACCAACUCCUCAGGUUGUUUAUGGCAUACCAGUUCAUGUUGCUAGGCAGCUUGACGAAACAAGAAUAUUUGAUGCAAACAACCGGCGGUACUCGGUAGAUAUGAAGUCAGCUUAUAAUGUAACAUCUGUUUUGGAGGAGAUAUUGGAUGCUAUAAAUCCUCGUGACCAUCAGGCGUUGAAGGAUGAAGUGGUCUUGGAUCUUGUCAAUCAGUGCUGCAUCAACCAGAAGAGAAUUGUAGAACUAAUUAACAUGAUAGAGGAUGAGGCAGUACUGAAAGAAGCUCUAACUUUGAGUGAUAAUCUGCAAGCUGUGCUUGCCAAAUAUGAUGCAAAAGCAUCAUAUUCCCCUUCACCACCUGAACAAGUGCAAUCGACUCAAGAAUUGCACGCUGCAUCUCCAGUUCCUCAGAAAGUGGAAAAAGGAUGUAAGUCUGAAGAUGGUGAGAUGGCUCAUCUUGUUCCCAGGAGUGAGCCGAUUCCAAUGGAAUCCCUGACCUUAAAUGUCAACCAAUUUGUUGGCACCGACCAUGACAAAAUAGCACAAGCAGUUCAUGACAGUGAAGAACUAGAAUCCAGGGUCCCGGUGAUAGUGCCUCACGAUGAGAAGGGAAUGGAUGAAGCAGAAGAUGGUGAUGAUAAUGAUGGUUUUUCUCAACUUGCUCGCAGGAGUUUCAAUUUUUGUUAUGAGUUCUGGGAGAUUAUCUAUAAUACUGAAGCAUGCUGCUUGGAAUUUGGUUGCAGUUAUACCAGUAUCUGUGUUUCUCAAGCCUCCCCUUUGGCUUUGUGCUCUUUUGUAUCCAGUUGCAUUUUAUGCUCAAGGGUUGCUGCUUAAACUUUUAUCUAAUUUCCAAGUAAUCAAUUGUAAAACACUCCAUUUAUUGGGAGGGCAUAAUAGUCAUAUAUUAGGGUCCUUUGUAUCUGUGUCCAUACUAUCUAGUUGUCACCUUCUUAGCUUUUUGUGUGUGAACUAAGCUAGCUAUGUGAUACUGCACCACUAUGGGACGAAUUGAAAAUGCAUUAGACCAAACACCCAAGUUACUAUUGGUCCACAGCUAUGUCACAUGGACACGGCAAAUUAGCCUGCGUAUCCGUGUCAACAUGCGGACACGCGGAUCCGGACACACGGCUGGGACACGCCAAAAAAUAAAAGUUAUUAAUUUAAUUUUUUUUUCAUUUUAUCAUUUUUUUGUGAUGCAUCCAAUUAUUUUCAUGAACAAUCCUUUCAAAUACUCAGCACUUUUGUGAUAAAACAAACUUUCUUACGAGAUUGUAAGAGUGAACUACUAAUUUAAUGUUUUUUUAUUUUAUCAUUUUUUAGAAUAUAAAAUUUGCCAUGUCCGCGUAUCCGAAAAUUUUGAAAAUUUCCGUGUCCGUACCCGUAUCCCCGUACCCGUACCUGCACUCGUGUGACAUAGGUCCACAGUCAUUCAAGUUAAUGUCAAACGCAACAUUUUGACCUAGGGUCCAACAUGGGAGGAAGCGUGUUCCUUAAUACGAGAGAGGGAGGGGGAGGAGUGUAUUUUGACAUCCGUCUGUUAGGAAGGUUUGAAAGCUGUCUUAUAUCUAAGUUCUUAGAAAAUUUUUGGGGCCCUAUAUAUUUGUGUCUCAUAUUACCUAGUGUCUUUGCUAGUAGCUCUUUUUGAAUCAAACUAAAGCUGGCUAUGUGACAGCUCAAAGACAGACACCGGGAUUGAUUUCGGGCCAGGUUAGUUCUCUUCCUAUGUUCAGUGGACCUAUUUCUGUUCUAAGUUGAGCUUGUUGGCUCCAUCUAUUCCCUUUUUCAAAGUGUUGGGUUUUCAAGAUACAAUAGGCAUGCUAGCCUGCCUUGGCUAUUCUUUCCUAUUCCAAGGAACCAUCCAAUACUUAAAUUACAUGAUGUAUUAUCAGAUAAUGAUAAAAAUAUUAUAAUAUAACUAACAAGGAGCAGCCGAUCCCUUCUUCCAGUACUAUGUGCUCCAUUUCAUUCAUUCCAUUUGACCGAUUUAAAUUUUGAUCAACUUGUGAUUAAGAAUAACUACUUAUCCUAUGGAUCCUCACGAAUUGUGUAUAUUUGUGCAGUUAAUAUACUCCUCUAGUUUCUGUUUCUGUCUAUACUUGUACUGUUAAAGAUACAAAAAGGGGUUUCUGAAAUAUUAGGAAGUUAGGGAGGAUCUCUUUAAAUGUUUUGUUAUUUUUAGUGGACUUCUCUUGUAAUUUUCCCUAACCCUAAUCUCUUAAUAGAGAUUAGGGUCACGUAAUGCAUAGAUAACUUUUUGCCGCCUCUCUCUCUAUCUCGUAACAUGGUAUCAGAGCGGGUGUGGGCGUCGACAGCAGAGUGCGCUUUCCGGUGACCUUCUCCGGCGAUCACCAUCUUCUCCGGCGACAAUCUUUCCGGCGAACAGCCAAGUGAGUUCGUUCCUUUUCUUUUUCUUUCGUCCUCUCCCUUGUCACCGCUACUCCUUAUUCCCUCUUAUCACCCAAUAAGGAGACAGUGAGGGAAUAGGGGUUGGGCGUGCCGUGAGAAGGAGGACCUGAUCACGCCUAUGUGGAAGGCAUGAUCAGAUCCUCAUAUUGGUCGUAUGAAGAGACUAUUGUGGAUGCAGCGUGACGUGUGACGCUGUGGUUUGUGAUGAUCGUAAAUACAGUUUCGGUAAAGUCAAGCUGCGUGAGGUGUUGUGGAUGCUUUGUGGAGUCUAUGUGCUGCUUAUAAAUUCAGGUUUUUGAAUAUGAUCAGAUUUUUUCUAUAGAUCGUGGAUACAAAUUCAGUAAAGAAAGGCUGCGUGAGGACUGUUGCUGAUCCUUAGUACAAGUUUUUGUUUGAUUUCGUGGAUUUCUUUGACACGUGGACAAGAAGUUUUAUGAGAACUAGCUGCUGUUAUAAGUGGCAGCAGUCUUCAGUCGUUGGGAGCAACAGUCUUCAGUCGUUGGGAGUUCAUUCUUGUUUUUGUCAUCGGCUGAACCAGAUCUGAAGUGACAGUAAUUUCCUAGCCCUCUUUCUUUAAACGUUUGCGUCAAUCUGGUCUUCUUUAUUUACUAUGGCUGAAAACAGUAAAUCUGAAGGGUCUACUGACUACAAGAUGGCUGGGAAUUCAUUCUCUUAUGGAACCACGAUGAAACUUAAUGGCUCAAAUUAUGAAAUAUGGUCUAGGGUAUUCAUAAUGUCGGUGGCUGGUCAUAGGAAGAAAUAUAUUCUUGAGGAGGAUGAACCUAUUGAGAAAAAAGGAAUAUAUGCUGCGUGGGAUGAAGAUAAUUAUAUUGUUAUGUCUUGGAUUAUGAAUAGUGUGGAGUCUCAUAUAGCCCCAACUAUUGCAUAUUAUACCAAGGCCAAGGAUAUGUGGUCUUUCUUGAGAAAGACAUACUCGCAUGCCACUAAUGUAAUCAAGAUCCUACAACUAGAAGAGGAGUUAUGCAACAUUCGACAAGGGUAUCAGGACCUAUCUCAAUAUUUUGCUACUUUGACUGCUGCAUAUGAACGGUUAAAGGCUCUUCCUUGUUAUGCAUCACACGUUGAGACUGGUAUGGUGGCGAAGUUUUUAUCUGGCCCAUCUUCAGAAUACUCUGUGGCAAAGUCUCAAAUUCUAACACGUAUAAUAGGCUGAGUCGUUUUGCAGCCACUCUUUCUCAGACUACGCAUGACAUACCAGUCUCUGCACUUGUGAUAUCAGGAGGACGGGGCCCUAGUUCUUUUGGAGGCACUAAGGAGUGUGGUACAGGCCGUGGUGCUGGACGUGGCAGAUUUCAGUGCUCUUAUUGUGGCAAAAUUGGUCAUCUAGAGGACCGUUGUUGGGACAAACAUCCUCACCUCAGGUCUAAUGUUUCCUCUGGACGUGGUGGAGGUAGAAUCACCACAAGCAGAGGUCCUUCUUCAUCCCAGGCAACUCAUUCAAAGGCAACAAUAUCUAUGGUUGAGUCUUCUACUGAUCAUUCUAUAUCUAUGUCAUAUUCUCAUAACCUAAGUAAGGAUGAAUAUGAUCGUGUUCUUGCUCAGAGGUCUGGCUCUACAUCUGCCUCUACAUCUACCAAUGCUGCUGUUGUAGAUUCAACAUUCUCUGUUGGUGCUCCUACUGCUGAUCCAGGACUUACCAACUGGGAAGAUGAUUGGUGGCGGCCAUGAGCGUGAGGGCCUUUAUUUUUUGUCAAUCCCAGUUGAUGUUGCUGCAUCUUCAGUCCCUUCCAAGCCUUCUCCCUUCCAAUGGCAUCUCAGAUUGGGUCAUCCUUCCGUACCAAAACUUCGUCGCAUGUUUCCAGACAUUCCUACAUCAGAGUCCUUCUUAUUGAUGCCUGCCAGUUGGGCAAGCAUACACGGAGCAGCUUUCCUUCGAGUCAGAGUCCAUCGAGUCAGAGUCCUUUUGAUCUCAUUCAUGUGGAUGUAUGGGGUCCUAGUCGGGUUCCUUUUCGAUCAUGUUUUCGAUAUUAUCUUGUUCUAGUUGAUGAUUUUACUAGAGUCAGUUGGGUUUUCUUGUUAAGGGAAAGAUCUGAAGUCAUAUGUAUUCUUCAAAAAUUUAUCAAGGAAAUAAAAACUCAGUUUGGAUUCAUUGUCAAAAAUAUUCGCACUGAUAAUGCUCUUGAAUUCAAGUCUUCCAUUCUACUUCAGUUUUAUGCCGACCAUGGAAUUCGACCUCAAUAUACUUGUCCACAUACGUCCCAACAGAAUGGUGUAGCCGAACGCAAACAUCGGCAACUCCUAAACGUAGCUCGUACCCUCAUGUUACAUUCUCACAUGCCUGCCUAUUUUUGGGGUGAUGCUAUCCUUAGUGCGUGUUACCUCAUUAAUAGAUUACCCUCUUCCUCCAUUUAAGACCGUAUUCCAAUACAAAUUCUAUAUCCAGGGCGUUCAUUAUUUCAUUUACCUCCCAAAGUUUUUGGAUGCACUUGCUUUGCACAUAUCCUAGGCCCGAACAAAAGCAAACUUGCUGCCCAAGCCAUCAAAUGUAUAUUUAUUGGCUAUUCAGCCAAUCAAAAGGGAUACAAAUGCUUUGAUCCCUUGACCAAGAAAGACAUUAUCAGUGCGGAUGUUACCUUCUUUGAGUCUCGUCCUUAUUUCCCUCCGUCAAGUCCCUCUUCAUCUGAGAUGCAUGCACCUAUACCUCUUCCUAUUCCACCAGUGUCACUUGAGUCAUUUCCAUCAUCUCAACCUAGGUCACAUGAACGUUUUCUUGAGCCUCCGUUGGUUUACACUCGUCGUCUAGGUCCCUCUCUCAACCGUCCACCAGCAUCGUCUCAAGAGGUAAGCUCUACUGAUAAGACUAACUCAGGUUUAAGUGAUGACUAUUCUGCAGCAGAUCUCCCUAUUGCUAUUCGCAAGGGCAAGCGACAGUGUACCUUACAUCCUAUAUCUAAUUCUGUCUUUACUGCUCAUCUGAGUACACACUUAGUACAGUUUGAUCAAGCUUUAUCUCGUCAUGUUAUCCCAUCCUCGCACCAUCAUGCCCUGUUAGAUCCACGUUGGCGACAAGCUAUGCAGGAGGAAAUGGAUGCUCUUCUUUCUCGGGAGACUUGGGAUUUGGUAGACCCCCCAACAUGCUGUGAUGUGGUUGGCUCACGAUGGGUAUUCACCAUCAAGUAUCAUUCUGAUGGGUCAGUUGAAAGGUUCAAGGCUCGUCUUGUCGCAAAAGGGUAUACUCAGACUUAUGGUGUUGACUUCUUUGAGACCUUUUCGCCUGUGGCCCGGUUGGGCACUAUUCGCUUGAUUAUCUCUCUUGCUGUCCAACGAGAGUGGCCUCUUUUUCAAUUGGAUGUCAAAAAUGUCUUUCUGUAUGGAGACCUUUCUGAGGUUGUUUAUAUGCAGCAACCACCUGGUUUUGAGCGACAAGGGGAGUGUUCCAAGGUAUGCAAGUUAAAGAAGGCUAUUUAUGGACUCAAACAGAGUCCCCGUGCAUGGUUCCAAAAGCUUACUGAAGUGUUAUCUAAGUGUGGAUUUAGCCGAUCCCAGCUUGAUCACUCAUUGUUUAUCAAGCGAGGCUCAGCAGGACUUGUGAUAUUGAUUGUCUACGUGGAUGAUAUUGUUCUUACAGGGGAAAAUGAUCAAGAGAUAGCUCAAACAAAGGAGUUUUUACAGCAACACUUUGUUACGAAAGACCUUGGACAACUUCGUUAUUUCUUGGUAUUGAGGUGGCUCGUAGUAAUAAAGGAGUUGUAGUGUCUCAAAUGAAAUAUGCUCUUGAUCUUCUACAGGAAACGGGACUAUUGGGGGCUAAACCUGCCACACUUCCCAUGAAUCCUCGCAUUCAUAUACAUGAUGAUGACUCAGAGCCGUUUGACUCUAGAUCUUAUAGAUCUCUGAUAGGGAAACUGUUAUAUUUGACUGUCACUCAUCCCGACAUUAGCUUUGCUGUGAAUAAGUUGAGCCAAUUCAUGGAAAAACCCCGAAAAGUUCACUGGGAUGCAGCUCUAAUGAUUGUAAGAUACUUGAAAUCAGCCCCGGGAAAGGGGCUAUGGUUCAAGAAAGGAGAAUGUGUUGACAUCGAGGCGUAUAGUGAUGCUGAUUAUGCUGGAUCUGUAGAUGAUAGGAAGUCUACUACCGGUUUUUGUGUCUUUGUGGGCAGUAAUCUUAUUUCCUGGAGGAGCAAGAAGCAGAAUGUUGUGGCUCGUUCUAGUGCUGAGUCGGAAUAUAGGGCUAUGGCUCAAACUGUGGCUGAAAUGUCGUGGGUUAGAUCACUACUUGUAGAGUUGGAUGUCUCAGUGAAUCUCCCAAUGAAGAUGUAUUGUGACAACAAGGCAGCUACAUAUAUCGCUAACAAUCCUGUCUUCCAUGAGAGGACUAAACACAUUGAAGUGGAUUGCCACUAUAUUCGGGACUUAGUUCAAGGAGGAAUUGUUAGCACUAUUCAUGUCUCCUCAGAAGAUCAGGCAACAGAUAUUCUCACUAAAGCUCUUCCCAUAGGCGAUUUCCUGAGAUGUUGUAACAAGCUGAGCAUGAUUGAUAUAUAUGCUCCAGCUUGAGGGGGAGUGUUAAAGAUACAAAAAGGGGUUUCUGAAAUAUUAGGAAGUUAGGGAGGAUCUCUUUAAAUGUUUUGUUAUUUUUAGUGGACUUCUCUUGUAAUUUUCCCUAACCCUAAUCUCUUAAUAGAGAUUAGGGUCACGUAAUGCAUAGAUAACUUUUUGCCGCCUCUCUCUCUAUCUCGUAACAUGUACUACUACAAUGAUGAAUACUACAUUGGUUGUCGAAUCAUUGACCAGUCAGCCAGUUGGCACGGUUGGUGGUCUGGCAACUAGAAACUGGCUUGAAGUUGCCAGGGACUAGUUGGACAACCAGUUCACUGACUCCUCAGGAUCUUGUUAUCAUGAUUUGUCAUGGUCCUUUUAGGCCUUUCUUUCCAAGCAUUUUAGGUUCCUUCUUGUGUUCAUUAUGGAAAAAGAGGAUAUUACCACCAUUUCUUGCCCAAACCUUGCUUCUACAACUAUGUUACGUGGGCCUCUAUCAUGGAAUGCCAUGAUGGUGUAAAGAGGCUAAAAGAAUUUUAUUGGAGAAACCAGAAGGGAAUGCAGUUUGAUUCUUACAAGGUCACAGACUUUCAAGAAAUGAAAAAGAGAAAAACUAUUCAUGAUCAUGGAAAGAAGUGGCAAGCUUGAAGAACCAAUUACCAUGAAGUCAUUGUUAAGAAAUAUGAUUUCUUAUUGUUGUUAUCUCUUAAUUAGGUAUUAUCUUAGUUAAGAGCUAGUUUAGGAUUAGUUAGGAAUUAGUUUAGGAUUUAGUUUAUUUCUUUCUUUUCUCUUUAUUUUUUAUUUUUUAUUUUUUUAUUAUUUCUGCCAAACUAGCCGUUGGCAGUUCCAACAGCUCUAUUAAGAGCUGUUGGAACUAGCCCAACGGCUAGUUUAGCUCAUCUCUUCUUAUUCUCUCUUAUAAAUAUCCUUGUAACAGUUUUUGUAAAGGAUAAGCUGUGUUUUACAGCCUUUAUAUUGUUUAUUGAAUGAGUAUUACUCUUCUUCACUUGGCCUUAGUGCCUUUUUGGUAUUAUAUGUAUUCUUUGUGACUGUUAUAGUCACUUUUCACAUGGUAUCAGAGCCAGUGGGCUGAUUCUCAAAGCUUGUUAAAGGCUGCUGCUGAGAUUUUAUGUUGCUGGUUUGAUUGAAGAGAUUCUUUGCUGGAGGAUAUAAUUUUUUGAAGGCCUUUUUGCUGCGGUUGCUCACCAACUGUUUGGUGAAAUUUCUAGAAGAGUUUUUUCUUGACUUCCUUGGAGAUUAUUGUUUCAAGUAUUGCUCUCAUGGAAGACUCCAAAGUUUCAAUUGAAGGAGGAAGCUAUUAUGCUCCAUACAAGCUUGACGGAACCAAUUAUACACUAUGGGCAAAAUGUUUGGAAAUGCAUAUCAAAGGAAAAUAUUUAUGGGGCUUCAUAAGAGGUACGUCUAUCCCUCCCACUCUCAAGUUGACCAAAAUAGAAAAUGGGAUUGAAAAACAACUAGAUGGAGUGGAAAGACAAAAUGCUAUGAAUGAAUAUUACAAAAAAUUAGACGAUUGGGAAGCUAAAAAUUCUAGGAUUAAAGAAUGGAUUUAUGGAAGUAUUGAACCUAGAAUUGCCCAAAAUCCUAUGUAUUAUAAAAAGGCUAGUGAAGUUUGGGAAUAUCUUAAGGGAAUGUUCACCCAAAAAGAUAUGGCCCGAAAGUAUCUUUUGAUUCAAAAGGCCCAAAGUAUCAAGCAAGGAGAGAAAAAUGUUAGAGAAUUUUUCAUGGAAAUCUCUAGUGUAUGGAAUGAGUUAGAUCAACUAAGUCCCGAACUAGGGUUGGACUGCAAAUGCCAUGAGAUUAGAAGAAAUGAAAUAGAUGAAUUUCGGUUUUUUCAAUUCCUUCAAGGGCUACGGCCCGAAUUUGAACAAAUAAGGUCAGCCCUUCUUUCUUCAUCCUCUCCUCCACUCAUUCAUGAACUUCUUACAAAGCUAAGUGGAGAGGAAACUAGAAUGAAACUAUCCAAAGAAAUGGAUAAAGAUAGUGUUCUUGUCUCAAAACAAGAAGAAGAAAGAGCCUUAGCCGCCUCUAGACCUGGAAACAACAUCAAGUCUUUUAGACCUCCUCACUUUAAGAAUCAAAUUAGAGGAGAAUAUAAAGUUAUUUGCCACUUUUGUCAUGAACCGGGUCACAUAAGACCUAGUUGCCCAAAGUUGAACAACAAUGAAGGACAAUCGCAGAAUCUUGGAGGAAAUUUUCUCAAAGGAGGAACUUCAUAUCCACAAGGAGGGCAACACAACCGGGGAAUUUCAUAUCCUCAAGGUGGACAUUACAACAUUAGACAAUUUGAUCAAAGAAAGGCCGCAAAUGUCACAAAUGAAGGAUGUGAUCUAUCAUCUAUAUCCACAACGUUGAAUCAAAUCAUGACAGCCCUUCAACCCAUGAUCAAGGAGUCAAAUUCCGGAGCACUAGCAACAACGGCAUCCAUCUCCAACACUCCUGGAUCACCAAACCGGGAGAUUGAUUGGGGAAGGUUUUAGAAAAGGGGACCUUUACUACAUGGACAAUUUAUGCAUCCCCAAAGAAAAGUUUUGUCACUAUGUUGAAAAUGUGGACAUCAAUGUUUGGCACCAAAGAUUAGGUCAUCCAAAUGUUAGAAAAUUGUCUAUGAUGAACCCUACCAAGAAUAUUUGUAUUGAAAAUUUUAAAUGUAAUG